UACGUAGGGCGCAAGCGUUAUCCGGAAUUAUUGGGCGUAAAGGGCUCGUAGGCGGUUUGUCGCGUCGGGAGUGAAAACCAGGUGCUUAACACCUGGCUUACUUUCGAUACGGGCAGACUAGAGGUAUGCAGGGGAGAACGGAAUUCCUGGUGUAGCGGUGAAAUGCGCAGAUAUCAGGAGGAACACCGGUGGCGAAGGCGGUUCUCUGGGCCGAUACUGACGCUGAGGAGCGAAAGCGUGGGGAGCGAACAGG
rnacentral:rRNA from 1 species